UUUCGCCGUACCCUGUUCUUAGUUCCAAUUUUAAUUUUUUGGAUUGAUUUUUGGUGUUUAAUUGUAAAAUCAAGCACAUAAUUGACAUGGGUUUUGAUUGUUUAGGAGUAGAACUUGAAGAUUGAGCCUUUCAACGACGUCGUUCCUAAGACUGCCGAAAAUUUCAGGCACUAAUAUACGAGCAGCUGCCGAGAUCGGAGGAACGACAUCAUCUUCUAAUUAGUUUCACCCGGUCGACUAUUGUCAAGAGCAGCUACCGAGAUUGGAGGAACGACAUUAUUUUUUAAUUAGUUUCACCCGGUCGACUAUUGUCAAGGCCUCAAAGCCAAGAUUUAUAAUCUGCCAAGACGACCAGUCCUCGAAGCCCAAAGCUCGACAAAACAAGCAACUUCCAGACCAAUUCCUGGUUGGUUUGAACCGUAUCAAUGAGAUAAAGAACUUCCAUGUUGUGACUGAGUCCUGAUCCUGAUCACAUAGACUGGCAGAUGACAACCAAGUGUCAGACACUCCUGAUCGACUAGGUUUAAAAGUAUUUCUAAGCUUGUAUUGUGUAUAUGUCCAUGGGAAAAUUUAGAUUGUUUAUUUCUCUCCAAAGCAUGUUCAAAUCCAAUAUUAACACUACUUAACCACUUAAAUAAGUAAUCAAAUCCA